GACCAGAGCAGCAUCCCUCAUGUAGGUGGGGCAGCAGAGGGUUCCACAAGAUCUGGGUUCAACCAAGAGUUUAACAGGAAACAGCUUCCUGUGUAUUGCUGGCCCCAAAUAUCCAGCAGAAGAGCAGAAGAGCCUCCGUCCUUGAAGUGACCAAUUACCUGCUUCCAGUGAUGGCUUCCUCCAUUCGAUUUUUUUGCCAAGACUCCAGGCCACAGCAUCACUUAUGAUUCCCAGGAUGUAACAUACUGUCAAAGGUCCUCCACCAGUCUCUUGACUACUCACCAUGUUUUUCCCAAUAAAGCAUUUUAUUGCUUUAUCAAUGAUCAAGUCCAUAUAAGAGAGAGCACUGCAUUCUGAUAUGGACAAUGUGGGGAUUUGAGAGCUGCAGAAAGGGAAAUGGAGGAAGAAGACAAACUACCAAAGGGAAAUGUCCAGGAUGGGAUGCUCAAUAAACUGGGUUUUUUUCCCCCUCAUCUUCUGGAGUGAUCCAAAGAAGAGGAGAAAUUCAAAGAACCUACCACUUGUUACCAUUCAUGGACACUCCAGUUUCCCCAUUUCAUGAUAAUUUCACAUACAAAUGUGUUAGGAAGCCAACAAGCCAAAGUCAACAGCUAGAAUGAGAAACUCAGAAUUUAAGAUGGCAGGACCCAGAGAUACCACCUUCAUUUCAUGUGGAGAGCGAAGGGUUGAAACAACCCUGAAAGACUCCUAAGCCCCUUGAGAUUCUUGAGUCAGAUAAGAACAUAAUGAGCCAGGAUAUGAAACUGGUACAAAAACAAGGAUGUUGACUUUUAAAGAAAACAACGAAUAUAGAAAGGAUUUGAAUGUCUGCUGGACAAGAAAGUAACAUUCCUGGAAUUGUAAAGAUAUAUUUGACCU